UGAAUUAGUUAUGUUCUAAACCUUUAUUCUGAGCGCAGAUUAUCCUACAAAAGUAUCUUACACAAGAAUAAUAUCUAUAUAGAAACGGUAACCGCUAACAAUUAGUUGCCGUUAAACUAUUUGAAAUUUUCUAAGAUAAAUUAAAAUAUACACGCUUUAUGGAUCCUUAGAAAAAAUGAGGAAGAAACAUUAAUAAUCUCUGGAUAUUCAAUACACGUGGCUUCUAAACGAUGCGAGUGCCACAAUUAUUUGGAUUUUACAUGGUACAGGUUAAUAUGACAGAGUAAAGAACCGUGGUGAUUGUUUUCUUGUGCCUUUUUCUACAGAUGUGACUAGUGAAGUAAUGUUAAGUUGGUAUGUUCAAUGUGUAAAAAUGAUUGGAACAUUAGAUCUUGUAUUUAAACUGUUUCACUAAAACCACAUAGUUUCUGUUGGAUUCAUUACAUUUUUUUAAUCAUUUGAGUGAAAUGGAAAGUCGCAGACAUCAUUAAAGAAGCAGAUUAUCCUGAGCAGACAUCUGCGUUUAAUGGGAACAAUUGCGCAACGUCAUUCCCCAUAAGAAGAUUGACUGCAUUUACAGCUAUUGGCAAAUAGUACGGAGAGCAGCUGUCCAGACGGCCAGAAAACAUUUUAUUGUUUGACACAGAAGUAAUAUCGGCUGGAUAACUUUUGACACUUAAUAGAUACCAGCUUGCGUGAUAAAGGUAUGCCACCAACCACAGUAUUUUCUCAGUUUCGUACACAUGCCAUCCAUCUAUAUCACUCUUCCUGGAUGCGAGGAAGUAUUCGCUUAAGAUACGUCUAUGUAUCCAAAGGCACAAUAGACAUGUUUUGCCCGAAAUGACCAUGGCUCAACAGGAAAUACCUGGAAUCUUCAACAGGAUUUUGGAAUAUGAACCGUUUUUAAAUUUAUAGUCGGUGAUCCAACAGAUUUAAUUGAUAGUUUUAAGAGCUAGAAAUCUUGAACCAAGUUCAAAAUGCAUCGUCUUUGGUACUCGCAAAUUACGAAAACUUACAUUCAAUAUGCACAGUGGAUUGAAAGUGAAAGGUUUAUAAUCUCUCCAUAUGCCAGACAAGUGGUUUCAAAGAAACGAGAUCAGAAUCAUGUGGAUUUAACAUGCGUAACUUGUGAUAUUAGAAAAUAACCAUGAAGAUUUCUUCUUAUACUGUU